rnacentral:rRNA from 1 species
ACAAGCGGUGGAUGAUGCGGUUUAAUUCGAUGCAACGCGAAAACCUUACCACCUUUGACAUGUACGGAAGUUGCCAGAGAUGGCUUCGUGCUCGAAAGAGAGCCGUAACACAGGUGCUGCAUGGCUGUCGUCAGCUCGUGUCGUGAGAUGUUGGGUUAAGUCCCGCAACGAGCGCAACCCUUGUCAUUAGUUGCUACAUUCAGUUGGGCACUCUAAUGAGACUGCCGGUGACAAGCCGGAGGAAGGUGGGGAUGACGUCAAGUCCUCAUGGCCCUUAUAGGUGGGGCUACACACGUCAUACAAUGGCUGGUACAAAGGGUUGCCAACCCGCGAGGGGGAGCCAAUCCCAUAAAGCCAGUCGUAGUCCGGAUCGUAGUCUGCAACUCGACUACGUGAAGUCGGAAUCGCUAGUAGUCGUGGAUCAGAAUGUCACGGUGAAUACGUUCCCGGGUCUU